GGGUUGUGAGGUUAAGCGACUAAGCGUACACGGUGGAUGCCCUGGCAGUCAGAGGCGAUGAAGGACGUGCUAAUCUGCGAUAAGCGUCGGUAAGGUGAUAUGAACCGUUAUAACCGGCGAUUUCCGAAUGGGGAAACCCAGUGUGUUUCGACACACUAUCAUUAACUGAAUCCAUAGGUUAAUGAGGCGAACCGGGGGAACUGAAACAUCUAAGUACCCCGAGGAAAAGAAAUCAACCGAGAUUCCCCCAGUAGCGGCGAGCGAACGGGGAGCAGCCCAGAGCCUGAAUCAGUGUGUGUGUUAGUGGAAGCGUCUGGAAAGGCGCGCGAUACAGGGUGACAGCCCCGUACACAAAAAUGCACAUGCUGUGAGCUCGAUGAGUAGGGCGGGACACGUGGUAUCCUGUCUGAAUAUGGGGGGACCAUCCUCCAAGGCUAAAUACUCCUGACUGACCGAUAGUGAACCAGUACCGUGAGGGAAAGGCGAAAAGAACCCCGGCGAGGGGAGUGAAAAAGAACCUGAAACCGUGUACGUACAAGCAGUGGGAGCCUCUUUAUGGGGUGACUGCGUACCUUUUGUAUAAUGGGUCAGCGACUUAUAUUCUGUAGCAAGGUUAACCGAAUAGGGGAGCCGAAGGGAAACCGAGUCUUAACUGGGCGUUAAGUUGCAGGGUAUAGACCCGAAACCCGGUGAUCUAGCCAUGGGCAGGUUGAAGGUUGGGUAACACUAACUGGAGGACCGAACCGACUAAUGUUGAAAAAUUAGCGGAUGACUUGUGGCUGGGGGUGAAAGGCCAAUCAAACCGGGAGAUAGCUGGUUCUCCCCGAAAGCUAUUUAGGUAGCGCCUCGUGAAUUCAUCUCCGGGGGUAGAGCACUGUUUCGGCAAGGGGGUCAUCCCGACUUACCAACCCGAUGCAAACUGCGAAUACCGGAGAAUGUUAUCACGGGAGACACACGGCGGGUGCUAACGUCCGUCGUGAAGAGGGAAACAACCCAGACCGCCAGCUAAGGUCCCAAAGUCAUGGUUAAGUGGGAAACGAUGUGGGAAGGCCCAGACAGCCAGGAUGUUGGCUUAGAAGCAGCCAUCAUUUAAAGAAAGCGUAAUAGCUCACUGGUCGAGUCGGCCUGCGCGGAAGAUGUAACGGGGCUAAACCAUGCACCGAAGCUGCGGCAGCGACGCUUAUGCGUUGUUGGGUAGGGGAGCGUUCUGUAAGCCUGUGAAGGUGUGCUGUGAGGCAUGCUGGAGGUAUCAGAAGUGCGAAUGCUGACAUAAGUAACGAUAAAGCGGGUGAAAAGCCCGCUCGCCGGAAGACCAAGGGUUCCUGUCCAACGUUAAUCGGGGCAGGGUGAGUCGACCCCUAAGGCGAGGCCGAAAGGCGUAGUCGAUGGGAAACAGGUUAAUAUUCCUGUACUUGGUGUUACUGCGAAGGG
rnacentral:rRNA from 1 species